ACCAGGAUGGCCGAGUGGUUAAGGCGUUGGACUUAAGUUCCAAUGGACGUAUGUCUUCGUGGGUUCGAACCCCACUCCUGGUA
rfam:Branchiostoma floridae genomic scaffold BRAFLscaffold_200, whole genome shotgun sequence.